CAGCCAUCUCUUUAGGCUCAUUAGUUUUAAGGAAAGGAGGAAGUACUUGCCUAAGUAGUAUUUUGAACUUUCCAGAAUUUCUCUGGCCUUUCAUACCAGAGGCAAUCUGUCUCUGCUCAGCUUUCAGCCCUAGGUAAUUUGCUAAAUUAACACUGUAGAUCUAAGAGAUGGAAGAAGAGCAUGUCAGUGUAUCCUGUUGUGGUGAAGCUAGAUUCCAACUUUUCAGAAAAUCUUUACUAAGUACCAUUUCAAAAAUUCAGGCUUAUGGGGGAAAUCUGACGUUAAUCACCUUUAUGCAACUGUGGAUGUAACAUUUGGGGGAUCUUCUGGAACUUCCACCUAUCUAUGCAUUUUACUGGUACCUCAGGAUGGGAGGGUAACCUUGUUGUCUUAACUUGUACUGCCUGGUGGUCUAUGGGGACCUUCUAAUUCACUUGUACCCCAAUGUCCUAUAUAUAGGAAAACUUCAUUAGAUUGACCUUUACUUGAUAUAAAACCCUUCUAUUAAUGUUUUGGAAAUAAAAGUAGCUUGAGCUUUAUUUUAAAAUCAUGUAUCUUGAUUGUUGUCUUAAUGAAGGAUUUAAUUUCAAUGCUGCUUUUGAGCUUCAGAGUGAUGGGAGAGCAGGAAUCUGAAAUAGUUGACAUCAUCUGCCAUAGGAAACAGCAAACACAUGUCAUGUUCUCUUUUUGUUAUUACACUGUUGGGUGGGUAUAACAAUUAGAAAAUGAACAAACUGAUUGUACAAACUAUUUUUAAUGAAGAACCUAAAUACUGCAGCCGCUUAAAGUGUAUACUAAUGCACUAAUUUCAUGUCUGUUAGUCAUACAAUUAUGUGUUAUCUCAAAUGUCCAUUUAUAUACGGAAUAUGUUACUUCCCAUGUAUGUCAUUUACUGACAGUGUUUUCAAAGGAAGGCAUCAGCUGUGAGCUAAUUAUCACCAAUUUCAGCCCACUAAGAUCCUUGGAAAUAUAUCUUCCAAGUACAUUCUAUCAUCAGUAGGGCAAGUGUCAGGAGUUUGUUUAUUUUCUUCUGGUAGCAACAAUAGGUUACAUGGAGCUAUCAAACCUCCUUCUGGCUUGUCUUGUGAUUAAUGGCAUGUGUUUGUAAAACAGAUAGCUGGGACGGGCAGAUGGCUAGAGAAGAAUCACCUGUAGUUUAAAAUAUAUAUGGUCCCAUAAUGAUUAUGAUCCCAUUCUGUAAUCAGCGGAGCUAGUUCCAAUAAAGUUAAGCAGGUUUAAAUCCAUUUUGUGCCUAUCUUUUCACUGACAAUAAAGUUAGCUAUUUUAAAAUGCC
ensembl:lncRNA